GGAGGGCGACGGAAGUGGAAAUGCGGGGCGGGACCAGAUCCCCAGGCCGCGGCGGGAGCUGUAGUUCUCGUGCUGGUUGCUGCUUCAGAUCUCUGCCGCCUGAGGGGGACGCCGGUUCGCUGUGUGCUGGCCCCGAGUCGCGUUGUCCCUGGAGGAUAGUGGAGAGCGACUGGGUCGUGGUCCUCCUGGCUUUCUUACCGUCACUUUUGUUCUUUACGUCCUGUCUCCGGUUUAGCACCGUGAGGUGCGGCAGGGGUUACUAUUACAGUUAGCCUUAUCAUCCCUCCGGCAUUUUGUGUGAUAAACACUCUGCAGCCACUUCUGCUGACCGAGACAAGUCAAUUUUUGGUCUUUGCGCCUUUGCUAAGAUCCUUUGCGGUGUCUCUCACGUGUGGCGUCUUAGCCGUGUGUGGAAGUCCUACCCGUUCAUAGAACUCGGUUCAGAGGCUCCUGUGACUCCUGGACUCAACCUUUUCAGCUGGAACCGUUCCGUCCUCCCAGUGCCCGCUGGCUGCUCGCACCUGGCUUUAGUCUGGUUUGUUUCUGCUUUGAUUCCUCGUUGCAUUUGCGUGUGCCUCCCAACGUCUCCUCGGAUGGCGACUGGAUUUUGAUUCCUCUUUGUGUUCACCAGAGCUAGAACAGCGUUUUGAAUCGAAUAAUAAUAGAAGCUGACACUGUGAGAAACCCGGCACUGUUGGGAGAGGUUCAGACCUCUGAAGAAAGGAUGUGGUUCCUGCCACAGGAACAUGCAGCCCACUGAUGAGUUGCUUCUUUCUUUUGAACUUCUGGCCAUCAUGGUGUAACUGGGACUGGAUUUAUUUUCUCAUCUGAAACAACUGGAAAACGAAAAUAUAUGAAACAGCGGUUUUCAGAUACUGGACAACAGGCAGUACAGGACAGUGAUUCCUGAGAGAAGGAAAAUAAGUAGACAAAGGCUGAGAAGAAAUGGAUAAACAUUUGGGGAAAGGAUGAGGAGAAAUCAAAUACAAGGAGGAAAAAGGGAAGCAAGAGCAAGAAAAUACUUUUCACAAAACAAGAUACGAAGAGUAUUUGGGAUUUAAGACCAAAUGAAGAUUAUGAGGCCUCUCACCGCUGUGGCCUCUCCCAUUGCGGAGCGCAGGCUCCGGACGCGCAGGCUCAGCGGCCAUGGCUCACGGGCCCAGCCGCUCCACGGCAUGCGGGACCCUCCCAGACCGGGGCACGAACCCGCGUCCCCUGCAUCGGCAGGCGGACUCUCAACCACUGCGCCACCAGGGAAGCCCUAAUAUUAAACUUUUAAUGUUCACAUGAGUAGAAAGGAAAUUGAUAUACUUAUAGAGAUAAUUUCAUUCUGUUUUUAAACCUUUUCAACAGUAAUUAUUUUACAUGUGUAAUAUUUAUAAAUGAAUGAAAUGAAUGAAGAAAAAAAACUUGCUUAAUAAUCCCCAAAGUUCCAGUCCUGGCUCUGUUGUUAUUAGUAGAUCUGCUACUAUUAGUGACCUUGGAGAAGUCACUUGACCUCUCUAUGUCCCAUUAUCCUCAACUAUAAUAUGGAAGCAUUAAAAUAAAUAUUUUUUUCCAUAUAUAAUAUUUUGUGAACCUUAAGAACUGACCAUCAGCAAUAUAAUGGACUUACCUUUAGGAAGCUAUACAUAUCUUUUUCAUUUGUAUUUGAUACUGGGGAAUACAUGAUCCCACUGAUAUAGACAUUAUGGUGACUGAUGCAGUCUUCAUUGUCUUCCUUCUGUUGAUUUAAACGGUCAGGGAAACCAUUGAGGUCCUUUACUGGUAGCAGGUUAUAAACCUGUACAAAUGCAAAGGGAGAAAGGACAAACUUACUUGUGGCUUAUUUUUCUUAAGUGCAGGGAGAAAAGAAAAGAAUAAUCACUACCAGACUUUCUUUGAGUGGCUCCAUUGCCUAGAUAAUUUACAGAGAAGAUGAUUUUGAAAACGUUUAACAAUUUUAGGGAAAAAAACAAUUAAAACAUUCCUAUCUAAGUACUCAGGAUCAUAAUCUUUUGUUAUGCAAUUCAGAGGCAAACCCUAGACUCUGCUGGAAUGAAAUAAAACUUAAUUAAGAGAAAUUGAGGUUUGCUAUAUUUGAGACAUUGUGCAACGCUUCAGGAUGACAGAAUUAGGUAAUAGUUUCGUCUCUAUCUGGUGGUUAGCAACUGACUCAGUGUUUAACAAAGUAAAUGGACAACAUGUUCUAAACAGGCACAUGGAUAAGCAUGUAUCCUCUGUAUAGGUCAGGACAGUAUUUUCUUAGUAUUACUCAUGGGAACUAAAUGCUCCAUAUCUUUAUAAAAUACAUAAAACUUUGUAGAAUACUGAAAAUGAUACUUUCAAAUUCACUUCAACGGGAAGAAUAAGACAAACAUAAAAAUUCUGUAGGUGUUUUAUAUUUAUAGGAGUUCAAAACUGUUUGAUAAGAAUAGAUUAGCAAAGUGAGUAGCACAAUGAAAUGAAGCACUUUCUCAAAGGCAGCUCCUUCUUAGCAUUCUCCAUCUCCUCCCUCUGCUUUAUUUUUCUCCAAAGCAUAUCACAUAAUUAUUGUCUGUCUCACCUAUUAAGUUCUAUGAGUGCAUGGAUUUUUUUCUUUCUAGUAGUUCACUAUGAGAUCCCCAGAAUUUAGGACACACCCAGAACACAGUAGGCACUAAAUAAAUGUGUUGAAUGAGUGACUUAUGCUACUAGGUGCAAGUGUUUCAUUAAUGAAACAUUAUCAAAGAUUGAGAGGAACCCUUGUUCUAACCCAGGUCUACUACUAGAUACAUGAAAGCUUCUGCUUUAUUAUUAACAAACUAAUAGAAUUUUCUGCCUUAUCUAUCCACUAGGAUUGUUAUAAUUGAAAACAACUUUGAGAACUAUAAAAUUAUGUUAUACAAACAUAAAACAUUAAUGUUAGCGUUCCACAUAUUCCCUUGCUUCCACUAUGCACUUAAUAUCUCCUUUAGAAGUAUUCUAAUAUUUUUAAUUAAAUACUAUUGGAAGGACCAGAAAGUAAGAGAUCUUUUCUUUUAAGUUUCUCUUGUAGGGAAGUAAAAACGUAACUUUCCCUUUAUAAAAUUUUGGUAGUGAAAAAAAACUUCAGUAAGAGGUUAUUCCAAUUGCCCUCAUUGAAAAUUUGAAGUAAUGGGCAAACUACUAUUAGGACACAUUAAGUAGUUUCCCGUUGUUAUACUAAGCAUACCCUUUGGCUAUUUUUCCUGUUAACCCUGUAUUUGAAAAGGUUUCAUUUAUUAAUGUCAUUUAUCACAUGGUAAUUAAUUUUUCCUAAUUUUUAUUAAUCAGAGACAAUACAGAUCUUCCUUCAGAAACUGUGUUCAU